UCGAUUGGAUUAGGCAUGCAAGUCGAACGAGAAAGCACCCUUCGGGGUGUGAGUACAGUGGCGGACGGGUGAGUAACGCGUGGGAAACCUGCCUUUGAGCGGGGGAUAACAGUUCUAACGGACUGCUAAUACCGCAUGACGCUGUUGAUCUUAUGUUCAACAGUUAAAGAUGGCCUCUACAUGUAAGCUGUCGCUUGAAGAUGGUCCCGCGUCCUAUUAGCUUGUUGGUGAGGUAACGGCUCACCAAGGCAACGAUGGGUAGCCGGCCUGAGAGGGUGGCCGGCCACACUGGGACUGAGAUACGGCCCAGACUCCUACGGGAGGCAGCAGUCGAGAGGCUUCGGCAAUGGGGGAAACCCUGACCGAGCGACGUCGCGUGGGUGAUGAAGAUUCUUGGAUCGUAAAACCCUGUCAGGUGGGAUGAAAUGCCAUUAGGUCAAUAGUCUAGUGGCUUGACAGUACCGCCAGAGGAAGCUCCGGCCAACUCCGUGCCAGCAGCCGCGGUAACACGGGGGGAGCAAGCGUUGUUCGGAAUCAUUGGGCGUAAAGAGCUCGUAGGCGGCUCCGUAAGUCAGGGGUGAAAUCCAAUGGCUCAACCAUUGUCACGCCUCUGAAACUACGGAACUUGAGUUCAGGAGAGGAAAGCGGAAUUCCAGGUGUAGCGGUGAAAUGCGUAGAUAUCUGGAGGAACACCGGUGGCGAAGGCGGCUUUCUGGCCUGAAACUGACGCUGAGGAGCGAAAGCCAGGGGAGCGAACGGGAUUAGAUACCCCGGUAGUCCUGGCCGUAAACGAUGGGCACUAGGUGUGGGGAGAUCGACCCUUUCCGUGCCGCAGUUAACGCAUUAAGUGCCCCGCCUGGGGAGUACGACCGCAAGGUUGAAACUCAAAGGAAUUGA
rnacentral:rRNA from 1 species